rnacentral:rRNA from 1 species
GACGAACGCUGGCGGCGUGCUUAACACAUGCAAGUCGAACGGAAAGGCCCUGCUUUUGUGGGGUGCUCGAGUGGCGAACGGGUGAGUAACACGUGAGUAACCUGCCCUUGACUUUGGGAUAACUUCAGGAAACUGGGGCUAAUACCGGAUAGGAGCUCCUGCUGCAUGGUGGGGGUUGGAAAGUUUCGGCGGUUGGGGAUGGACUCGCGGCUUAUCAGCUUGUUGGUGGGGUAGUGGCUUACCAAGGCUUUGACGGGUAGCCGGCCUGAGAGGGUGACCGGCCACAUUGGGACGUGGAUACGGCCCAGACUCCUCGGGGGGGCAGCGGUGGGGAAUUUUGACCAGUGGGCGGAAGCCUGCGGCCGCAACGCCGCGUGCGGGAUGACGGCCUUCGGGUUGUAACCCUCUUUCACCUGUGACGAAGCGUGAGUGACGGUAAGGGGAAAAGAAGCCCCGGCUACCUCCGU